rnacentral:rRNA from 1 species
CGAAUUCGCCCUUAGAGUUUGAUCAUGGCUCAGGAUGAACGCUGGCGGCGUGCCUAAUACAUGCAAGUCGAGCGAACGGACGAGAAGCUUGCUUCUCUGAUGUUAGCGGCGGACGGGUGAGUAACACGUGGAUAACCUACCUAUAAGACUGGGAUAACUUCGGGAAACCGGAGCUAAUACCGGAUAAUAUUUUGAACCGCAUGGUUCAAAAGUGAAAGACGGUCUUGCUGUCACUUAUAGAUGGAUCCGCGCUGCAUUAGCUAGUUGGUAAGGUAACGGCUUACCAAGGCAACGAUGCAUAGCCGACCUGAGAGGGUGAUCGGCCACACUGGAACUGAGACACGGUCCAGACUCCUACGGGAGGCAGCAGUAGGGAAUCUUCCGCAAUGGGCGAAAGCCUGACGGAGCAACGCCGCGUGAGUGAUGAAGGUCUUCGGAUCGUAAAACUCUGUUAUUAGGGAAGAACAUAUGUGUAAGUAACUGUGCACAUCUUGACGGUACCUAAUCAGAAAGCCACGGCUAACUACGUGCCAGCAGCCGCGGUAAUACGUAGGUGGCAAGCGUUAUCCGGAAUUAUUGGGCGUAAAGCGCGCGUAGGCGGUUUUUUAAGUCUGAUGUGAAAGCCCACGGCUCAACCGUGGAGGGUCAUUGGAAACUGGAAAACUUGAGUGCAGAAGAGGAAAGUGGAAUUCCAUGUGUAGCGGUGAAAUGCGCAGAGAUAUGGAGGAACACCAGUGGCGAAGGCGACUUUCUGGUCUGUAACUGACGCUGAUGUGCGAAAGCGUGGGGAUCAAACAGGAUUAGAUACCCUGGUAGUCCACGCCGUAAACGAUGAGUGCUAAGUGUUAGGGGGUUUCCGCCCCUUAGUGCUGCAGCUAACGCAUUAAGCACUCCGCCUGGGGAGUACGACCGCAAGGUUGAAACUCAAAGGAAUUGACGGGGACCCGCACAAGCGGUGGAGCAUGUGGUUUAAUUCGAAGCAACGCGAAGAACCUUACCAAAUCUUGACAUCCUUUGACAACUCUAGAGAUAGAGCCUUCCCCUUCGGGGGACAAAGUGACAGGUGGUGCAUGGUUGUCGUCAGCUCGUGUCGUGAGAUGUUGGGUUAAGUCCCGCAACGAGCGCAACCCUUAAGCUUAGUUGCCAUCAUUAAGUUGGGCACUCUAAGUUGACUGCCGGUGACAAACCGGAGGAAGGUGGGGAUGACGUCAAAUCAUCAUGCCCCUUAUGAUUUGGGCUACACACGUGCUACAAUGGACAAUACAAAGGGCAGCGAAACCGCGAGGUCAAGCAAAUCCCAUAAAGUUGUUCUCAGUUCGGAUUGUAGUCUGCAACUCGACUACAUGAAGCUGGAAUCGCUAGUAAUCGUAGAUCAGCAUGCUACGGUGAAUACGUUCCCGGGUCUUGUACACACCGCCCGUCACACCACGAGAGUUUGUAACACCCGAAGCCGGUGGAGUAACCUUUUAGGAGCUAGCCGUCGAAGGUGGGACAAAUGAUUGGGGUGAAGUCGUAACAAGGUAACAAGGGCGAAUU